CUGCGAGUGAAGAGGGAAGAGCUCAUCAUUGGAAUCUGGCAGCGUUGCGCUGUCCGAGUUGUAUAUGAAAAGAGUAGGCCAUCUGGACUGCGUGGUGUCCAAGUACAAUAGGCCGUCAGUGGGACAUCAUAGAGGGUGACAAUCCCGUCCUUGACACCAACGUACGAGUCCAUUACGAUGCCUAUCUCAGAGAGUCGAGCAGUUUGGGAUUUGCUGCUUAAACAUGGGAGGUAGAUUCCUUCUAAAGCUAAAUACAGGCAAGAGACCGAUAGAGAACAAGUACCGCAAGGGAAAGAUGAAAUAGAACUCUGUGAAGGGAGUCAAAAAGACGUGAAAUUGUUGCGAGAGAAGCGAUUCAAGUCAGCGUAGCUAGGCCCAUCAAGCCUUGCUUUGGACUAGCUUUGCCAGCGGUCUUGUCCUUUAGAGAGACUUGACUUUUGACAUGCCCUGCCCGGUCUAAYGGGCAGACCUCCCUCUGGGAGGCCAGUGGCAUGGCUGGUGGAAUGGCUUGCAAUCGACCCGUCUUGAAACACGGACCAAGGAGUCUAACAUGUGUGCGAGUAUAAGGGUGGCAAACCCGUAUGCGCAAAGAAAGUGAUAGCCUUUAUGGCUGAGAAUGGCCUGAUGACCAGACAAGCAAUAUUAUGUUCCUCGUACGGUCAUUGCCCAAGUCCCGUGGUCAGAUCCCAUGGACAUGGAGUUAGAGCAUACAUGCUAGGACCCGAAAGAUGGUGAACUAUGCCUGGACAAAGCGAAGCCAAAGGAAACUCUGGUGGAGGCUUGUAGCGAUUCUGACGUGCAAAUCGAUCGUCUGAUCUGGGUAUAGGGGCGAAAGACUAAUCGAACCAUCUCAUAGCUGGUUCCUGCCGAAGUUUCCCUCAGGAUAGCAGAGACCUUGUGGAAGUUGCAUGUGGUAAAGCGAAUGAUUAUUGACCCUGGGGCUCAAAUGGGCCUCAAUCUAUUCUCAAACUGUGAAUGCGAGCGG
rnacentral:rRNA from 1 species